UACGGAGGGUGCAAGCGUUAAUCGGAAUUACUGGGCGUAAAGCGCACGUAGGUGGUUUACUAAGCCAGCUGUGAAAUCCCCGGGCUCAACCUGGGCACUGCAGUUGGAACUGGUAAGCUAGAGUAGGGUAGAGGGGUGUGGAAUUCCAGGUGUAGCGGUGAAAUGCGUAGAUAUCUGGAGGAACACCGGUGGCGAAGGCAGCCCCCUGGGUCGACACUGACGCUCAGGCACGAAAGCGUGGGGAGCAAACGAGG
rnacentral:rRNA from 1 species